rnacentral:lncRNA from 1 species
AUGAAUAAAAGCGACGAAGAAAUAUACUCCACGAAGAACACAGGAGAUGGAGAUUUCAGGAAAAGAAAAUUGGAUCAACAUUAGCUUUGCAGAGUGAAGAGGUCAAGCUUUCAUGACUUCACUAGUGGCGAUGUUACCAUGGUGGUGCAACACGCACCAAUACCUCAAACACCACCAUCCACUAUUCCAUGGUGGCCUGGGAGGAGGACCAAUAACGCCAUCCAUCAGUUUACAUUAGGCCAAAAAGGAUAUGUUUGAAAAACCAUGCCACCACAAACGAGUAUGAAUUUCAACAAAACAUGGUUACCUUUAAAAUCGUUACUCUUAGUAGCAAUAUUUUGUUGAAAUUUAUACUUCAGUUGUUGUUGUGGUGCUUCACUAAUUUCUCCUCUUUCGGCACCAUGGAAACUAGUGGAUGGUGGUCAAGUGGUGUUUGUGGAUUUGGUGCGUGUUACGUCAACAUGGUGUAUUGCAUGUGGUGAUGCCAUGAAUGCUUAACCUCUUUUUCUCUUCAUCCUUGUAUAUUACUUCAAUCACGACUUCAAGUCACAAGCCACGAUGCUCGAUCU